rnacentral:rRNA from 1 species
AGUCGAACGGCAGCGGGGGCUUCGGCCUGCCGGCGAGUGGCGAACGGGUGAGUAAUGCAUCGGAACGUGCCCAGUCAUGGGGAAUAACUACGCGAAAGCGUAGCUAAUACCGCAUACGCCCUGAGGGGGAAAGCGGGGGAUCGCAAGACCUCGCGUGAUUGGAGCGGCCGAUGUCGGAUUAGCUAGUUGGUGGGGUAAAGGCCUACCAAGGCGACGAUCCGUAGCGGGUCUGAGAGGAUGAUCCGCCACACUGGGACUGAGACACGGCCCAGACUCCUACGGGAGGCAGCAGUGGGGAAUUUUGGACAAUGGGGGCAACCCUGAUCCAGCCAUGCCGCGUGAGUGAAGAAGGCCUUCGGGUUGUAAAGCUCUUUCAGACGGAAAGAAAUCGGGUGGGUCAAUACCCUGCCUGGAUGACGGUACUGUCAGAAGAAGCACCGGCUAACUACGUGCCAGCAGCCGCGGUAAUACGUAGGGUGCGAGCGUUAAUCGGAAUUACUGGGCGUAAAGCGUGCGCAGGCGGUUGUGUAAGACAGGUGU